UGUUACAAUGGGGGGUACGAGAGGGCCGCUACCACGCGAGUGGAUGCCAAUCCCUAAAACCCCUCUCAGUUCGGACUGGAGUCUGCAACCCGACUCCACGAAGCUGGAUUCGCUAGUAAUCGCGCAUCAGCCACGGCGCGGUGAAUACGUUCCCGGGCCUUGUACACACCGCCCGUCAAGCCAUGGAAGCCGGGAGUGCCUGAAGUACGCGACCGCAAGGAGCGUCCUAAGGUAAAACCGGUGACUGGGGCUAAGUCGUAACAAGGUAGC
rnacentral:rRNA from 1 species